UAGUUGGUAAGGUAACGGCUUACCAAGGCGACGAUCAGUAGCCGACCUGAGAGGGUGAUCGGCCACAUUGGAACUGAGACACGGUCCAAACUCCUACGGGAGGCAGCAGUGGGGAAUAUUGCACAAUGGGCGAAAGCCUGAUGCAGCAACGCCGCGUGGGUGAUGAAGGCCUUCGGGUCGUAAAACUCUGUCCUCAAGGAAGAUAAUGACGGUACUUGAGGAGGAAGCCCCGGCUAACUACGUGCCAGCAGCCGCGGUAAUACGUAGGGGGCUAGCGUUAUCCGGAUUUACU
rnacentral:rRNA from 1 species